ACCGUUCUGGAGGCCGGAAGUCCUCAAUCCCGGGUGUGGGCAGGGCCACGCUCCCUCUGACAUGUGGGGGGAAUCCUUCCUCGACCCUCUUCUAGCUUCUGGAACCUCCCAAGCAGUUUGGGACGUGCUUUGGCCUCGGCGGCGGGACGUGGAUCCUGGCCUCAUAACAACAUGGCGCCUCCCUCCGUGUUUCUGCCCUCAGCUGGCGGUCUUCUAUAAGGAAAAUGGUCACCAGGGGGCAGGGCUCCCCCUGCUUUCGUAUGACCUUACUUAACUGGCUACCUCCCCCACUGACCCUAUGGCCAGAUGAGGUCACUGUGAUGGUUAACUUUGUGUCACCUUGACUGGGCUACGGGAGGCCUAGGUAACAGGAGACAUGACUUCCGGUGAUGAGACAUGACUUCCGGAGCAUCCGCGUCAGCGUCUCUGGAAGAGAGGAGCGUUUGAAUCAGUUCACUGAGAAGAGGAAUUGAUUGCCGACGCGGGUGAGCACCAUCCAACCUGUUGGGGCCUGCGUGUAACAAAGAGGUGAAUUUGUUCUCUUUGCUUGACCUGGGACAUCCUCCUCCUUCUCUGACCUCACACCUCCAGCACCUGCUUCUCAGGCCUCUGGUUUCACUGCGUCACCUGACCCGGCCUCCCCAACUCUCCAGCUUGUAGAUGGCAGAUGGCAGGACUUCUCGGCCUCCAUGGUCACAAAAGCUAAUUUAUUACUCCGUGUAGGGCCUGGCACGGUCAUUAACUCCUACAUCCAGCGCAUGCCUUCAACGCCCGCCCCAUGGGGGAAGCUGGGAUUGUAACAGGGGUGACACCAGACCCCACCUCCACCCCCGGAGGUUUGUGGGGCAAACAAACACCAGCUGCGUCUUCGCAAGAAGGAGCCACGGCUGAGCCCCUGGAGAGCCACCCCUCUCUCGGGGCCCCUUCCGCACUCGGUCAAAGCCACCAUCCGAGGGAAGCAAGCCCAGGUUUUUCCUCCACCCCCAACCCGAAGCACCCGCCUGGCCGCCACUUCUAGGCUCUCCUCCCGCACGGACGCCCCUCCGCCCUUAAAAGUCAACCGGUGCUCGAAGUGCCCCCCUCAGCGGCUCUGGCAUGUUCCCAAGUGAUAAUUGAUGCUCUGCCCGUGCCAAGAGCCGCCUUGUUCUGUGCUGUAAUGAAAAAUAACCAAGAAAUAAAACUUUCGAGAAGAAAAAGAGGCCUACGGAUCCUGGGAACGAGACACUUGAGAUGACAUACGGCCACCGGGCUGACACGGCCCCAGGGCUCACCUCUCGUCUUAAGAUUCGUGACUUAAUCACACCGGCAGAGUCCCUUCGGUCACGGAAGCCCAAGCCCUCCACCCAGCACUGAAGCCAGGAGCACGACUGAAGGACACAGCUCGGACACCAGCCGCCCAGCACCAAGGCCGAGCUGGGAAGGGUAAGGAGCCACAGAGAGAAUGCACGCGGCUUUCCUGACCGCGCCAACCCAGCCUGCAGCAGGCGUUGAAGACGGAGGUGCCCUGUGAACACGCUGGCAACAGCAAGCCUCCGUGCUCCCCACGGGCCCACACGCAUGUGCGAAAACACCCAAGGUGAGGGAGGGUCCACCCCGAAGCGGAGACUACCUGAGCCCUGGGAUGGAGGAGGGGACAGGU